rnacentral:rRNA from 1 species
AACGAACGCUGGCGGCGUGGAUAAGACAUGCAAGUCGAACGAGAGAAUUGCUAGCUUGCUAAUAAUUCUCUAGUGGCGCACGGGUGAGUAACACGUGAGUAACCUGCCCCCGAGAGCGGGAUAGCCCUGGGAAACUGGGAUUAAUACCGCAUAGUAUCGAAAGAUUAAAGCAGCAAUGCGCUUGGGGAUGGGCUCGCGGCCUAUUAGUUAGUUGGUGAGGUAACGGCUCACCAAGGCGAUGACGGGUAGCCGGUCUGAGAGGAUGUCCGGCCACACUGGAACUGAGACACGGUCCAGACACCUACGGGUGGCAGCAGUCGAGAAUCAUUCACAAUGGGGGAAACCCUGAUGGUGCGACGCCGCGUGGGGGAAUGAAGGUCUUCGGAUUGUAAACCCCUGUCAUGUGGGAGCAAAUUAAAAAGAUAGUACCACAAGAGGAAGAGACGGCUAACUCUGUGCCAGCAGCCGCGGUAAUACAGAGGUCUCAAGCGUUGUUCGGAAUCACUGGGCGUAAAGCGUGCGUAGGCUGUUUCGUAAGUCGUGUGUGAAAGGCGCGGGCUCAACCCGCGGACGGCACAUGAUACUGCGAGACUAGAGUAAUGGAGGGGGAACCGGAAUUCUCGGUGUAGCAGUGAAAUGCGUAGAUAUCGAGAGGAACACUCGUGGCGAAGGCGGGUUCCUGGACAUUAACUGACGCUGAGGCACGAAGGCCAGGGGAGCGAAAGGGAUUAGAUACCCCUGUAGUCCUGGCAGUAAACGGUGCACGCUUGGUGUGCGGGGAAUCGACCCCCUGCGUGCCGGAGCUAACGCGUUAAGCGUGCCGCCUGGGGAGUACGGUCGCAAGAUUAAAACUCAAAGAAAUUGACGGGGACCCGCACAAGCGGUGGAGUAUGUGGCUUAAUUCGAUGCAACGCGAAGAACCUUACCUGGGCUUGACAUGUAAUGAACAACAUGUGAAAGCAUGCGACUCUUCGGAGGCGUUACACAGGUGCUGCAUGGCCGUCGUCAGCUCGUGUCGUGAGAUGUUUGGUUAAGUCCAGCAACGAGCGCAACCCCUGUUGCCAGUUACCAGCACGUGAAGGUGGGGACUCUGGCGAGACUGCCCAGAUCAACUGGGAGGAAGGUGGGGACGACGUCAGGUCAGUAUGGCCCUUAUGCCCAGGGCUGCACACGUACUACAAUGCCCAGUACAGAGGGGGCCGAAGCCGCGAGGCGGAGGAAAUCCUGAAAACUGGGCCCAGUUCGGACUGUAGGCUGCAACCCGCCUACACGAAGCCGGAAUCGCUAGUAAUGGCGCAUCAGCUACGGCGCCGUGAAUACGUUCCCGGGUCUUGCACACGCCGCCCGUC